rnacentral:lncRNA from 1 species
CUCUGAGAUAAGAAUUCUGGAAAGCUCAUUUCCCACAAAGUAAGAAAGAAUUGGACCAUAAAGAAAGGUUGGAACAUUACUUUCCUGGUGCAAGACUGUCCAAAGCUUCCUUUCCUCCUGGCACAGUGAUCAGCAGGAUUUUGGUGGGGAAGAUGGGAGGCUGCUCCAUCUGCCUGUAUCUCUGAGUGACUGCAAUAAACUGUGCUUCUCUACUGACCUGGGAUGGGUUGGAUGGUGAUAAGCGCUCCCCCCUCAUGCAAGAUUCUGCAUCAGUAUGACAAGAAGCAGCAGCUGAUGACUCAGAGGAUGUUAACUGGCUUUAUUAAUCAUAACCACAAACCAGAAGCUGUGUGUUUUCUCCAGGAGUUGAGUGAGAGAUUGCCUUGUCUCCUGCCGCUCCCAUGGUAUAAUCAAGGCAUCAAGCUAAAUUAAAGGAAAUGCCAUCAUCUCAUGACAGCAGGAUGAAACUGAUACUCAUAGAUGACUCAACACAUGAGCCGCAGAAGAGACCUCAGAAUUGGAUUCUUCCCUUACAGAUUAGGAAGCUGAAGUUCAAGAGGCUCUAAGCUCAUGCAGCCACAUCCGAAGGUUUCAUAUAGCUGUAUUAACGUGGGAAAUCU